UACGGGGGGGGCAAGCGUUGUUCGGAAUUACUGGGCGUAAAGGGCUCGUAGGCGGCCAACUAAGUCAGACGUGAAAUCCCUCGGCUUAACCGGGGAACUGCAUCUGAUACUGGAUGGCUUGAGUUCGGGAGAGGGAUGCGGAAUUCCAGGUGUAGCGGUGAAAUGCGUAGAUAUCUGGAGGAAUACCGGUGGCGAAGGCGGCAUCCUGGACCGAGAUUGACACUGAUGAGCGAAAGCCAGGGGAGCAAACGGG
rnacentral:rRNA from 1 species